UCGAGGGGUAUAGUUCUUCGGAAUUAGAGACCGGCGCACGGGUGCGUAACGCGUAUGCAAUCUACCUUUCACAGAGGGAUAGCCCAGAGAAAUUUGGAUUAAUACCUCAUAGCAUAAUAGCUCGGCAUCGAGCAAUUAUUAAAGUCACAACGGUGAAAGAUGAGCAUGCGUCCCAUUAGCUAGUUGGUAAGGUAACGGCUUACCAAGGCAACGAUGGGUAGGGGUCCUGAGAGGGAGAUCCCCCACACUGGUACCGAGACACGGACCAGACUCCUACGGGAGGCAGCAGUGAGGAAUAUUGGUCAAUGGGCGCAAGCCUGAACCAGCCAUGCCGCGUGCAGGAUGACGGUCCUAUGGAUUGUAAACUGCUUUUGUACGGGAAGAAACAACUCUACGUGUAGAGUCUUGACGGUACCGUAAGAAUAAGGAUCGGCUAACUCCGUGCCAGCAGCCGCGGUAAUACGGAGGAUCCAAGCGUUAUCCGGAAUCAUUGGGUUUAAAGGGUCCGUAGGCGGUUUAGUAAGUCAGUGGUGAAAGCCCAUCGCUCAACGGUGGAACGGCCAUUGAUACUGCUAGACUUGAAUUAUUAGGAAGUAACUAGAAUAUGUAGUG
rnacentral:rRNA from 1 species